rnacentral:rRNA from 1 species
CGAAGCUGGAAUCGCAGUAAUCGCGGAUCAGCACGCCGCGGUGAAUACGUUCCCGGGCCUUGUACACACCGCCCGUCACACCAUGGAAGUCUGCAAUGCCCGAAGCCGGUGGCCUAACCACUUAUGUGGAAGGAGCCGUCUAAGGCAGGGCAGAUGACUGGGGUGAAGUCGUAACAAGGUACC